AUGCAUGGCGCGAGGAGCCUGGUUGUCCCUGGCGUGAUUCCGUCGGGGUGCUCGCCACCGAUCCUGACCAGGUUCGCCGACGCCUCGCCACCAUCAGCAUACGACUCCAGGACGGGUUGUCUGAAAGCAUACAACGAGCUGGGGUUGCACCACAACUCGCUGCUGCAGGCUGAGCUAGCCAAACUUCAGGCCAAGUACCGGAAUGCCAGGAUCAUCUACGCCGAUUUCUUUGGCCCAAUCAUGGACAUGGUGGAGUCGCCUCACAAGUUUGGUUUUGAACAAGACGUGCUUAUGGUGUGCUGUGGAGGGGCUGGACGAUACAGAUUAAAUUCAACGGUUCCAUGCGGCGAUGCUGCUGCAACAACGUGUCCGGAUCCAUCAGCUCGUUUGUACUGGGACGGUGUCCAUCUGACGGAGGCAGCUAACCGCCAUAUCGCCAAUAUCUGGCUGGGCAGCAUAACCUCGGCAACAAGAUUCAGCAGCAGCAAGUGUGCAAAGGGGACAUAUCGACCUACCGGGUGA
rnacentral:rRNA from 1 species